ACUCACUUUAUAAGAGAAUCAUCUUUUGACGCAGGAAUGGACAGUUCUACAAUUACCAGAGUUUUUUUCUCUUGAUUUCGUUCCAGUGCUUCCGUAUGCCUCAAUCUUGGCUGCUUGCUUUUAGCGUUGAUUGGGUAUCUCCGUAAUUACAUAUUACGGCUGAGUUUUCAAUUCACCAAAAUUUAUUCUCUCUGUGCUUCUGCUUCACCAUUACUUGUUGCCACGAAAUUAUUGGUGAUGGAUAAUCUUGUUGCAAUCGUCGACUGCACGAAGUACAGCGAGGAUCACCAUGGAGAUGAAGGUGAUUUUUGAGGUGGAAUUGUAAGUAAAAUCUGUAGAUGAUGGGAGCUUCAGCGGGAUUCUAGCGGGAAGUAGUGAAGCACGAGGAACAAGUACGCAACAAUGGCGACAAUAUCGGCCUGGAAUUUUCCAUUCCAAGCGAUCAUUAUUUCGAAUAAAGAGACUAAUUUUAUCAAACUGAGAGCACUGGUGCACAUAGAGUCUGGUUUGGAAUGUUGUCUUCAGAACCUGCCGCCACCUGUUUGUUGCUAAAUUUCGGGCACAGAGCAGCCAGGGAAGAGCGGCGCACGAGCAGGACAACUGGGGCACAGCUACAAAUUGCUUUCUGCAAUGUAAGGAAAUGUUGUUGAGAGAGGGAGAAGAGCGCCUGGGGACACUCUCGUAUCAUUCUCUAGUGAUGUGGGUCGACCUAUUUCUGGCGCAGCUGUAUUAAGCAGGACACGCUCGAAAAGGUGAUUGAGUUACGGAAGGAUAUACUCCACUCCGUCAUGUCUUUGAAGUGGCAGGCUAUGGCACUGAUUUGUGAAACGUAUUGUUGCACGGCUCAGUACGAACUGGGGAUGCAUUGGACUCUUCCAUACAGAAAAAUGAAGCGGUACAAGGGUUUUCUGAAUUAAGAAAGUGUUCUGAAGAGACUGUGGACGCCGAAAUAUGAUCCCUCCUGUGUUUCGACCACAAAUAUCUGGGGAGAUUCGUCGAAAGCUUGCGGUGGGUUCGAGAAGCCAAUCGAGCGAGGAUGAAAAGUCCCUCAGUUUGGAACCUUUGCAAAUUUUAUUUUCUAGAGCGCGAAACGCGGCUAUUAAUGAAGCUUGAGAAUAUUGCAGAGGCUGUUUGAGUACUUGAAGAUUUGACCAAUACCUUCGCCUCUGAGUCUGCUCAGAAUCGAAAGCUUGCACUAUCCAUUCAAAACGCCCGCGAAUUGCUACAUGAGUGUUACAUGCAGAUGAGUAGAAGAGUUGCAGAACUUGGCGAUGUCCAACUAGCAAAGGAGUUCGAAGACCUAGCCAGGGAACAACUUCAAUUGUUUCAGUGGGUUUCCUGAACCGGCUUCACACAAUUAAGCUAGUCAAUGUUUGAUUAUGUACAGUUUACUGGAUUGGAAUUAUGGACUCUGAUCCGAUUGUGUCAAAGAAAAUCUUGUAAUAAAUGGAUUGACGAGCAAACAAAUGCAAGACGACCCCAAUUGAGAUUGUGGGUGGAUUCGACAUUCAAUUUCAACUACCCACGGCCUCUCCUCUCGGAAGCUCGGGCCUAGGCUUGACUCAAGCACCUGUUUGGAAAGGUGCACAGUUACACAUGAGUAAGUUGCCAAAGCCUAUCAUGGAGCUACUGGAGCGUCAAUAUAGUGCAAUGCAAUAUUUGCAAGAGGUCCACGAUGGAGAGACAGCUAUAUUGUUGUCCGAGCAAAUGAGGGAGGUCUUGAAGAUGAUCAAAAGAUGUCUUGCCUCGGGGACAUACGACUGGCUACUAUCAUGGGUUGACCUCCCAUUGGCAGGUUUAUAUCACUAUUGUGCUAGAAAGUUUGAUAAAGCACUCGAGAUAUGGAAGGAGAUAAAAGAGUGUUCAGUCCAUAAAUCGGAAUGUACCGAUAAGUUGGAGGUUUCAUCAACAGACUACCAAAUCCCAUUUGCUGCAUUGGAGUACGAAUUGAGUUUCUCAAACGCGUCUGUCCGGGGGAAAUAGGACAUCGUCUAAACGUGGGCUACAGCAUCUUGCAUAAGUGAGGAGAAAGGUGAGCAAGACGAACCACCUAAAUCCUAAACCCUAAGCCAUCGUUUGUUUAGGGUUACUACUGCCAUAGAAAUUUUCAGGGUGCAUUAGAAUGGCUACAAAUAUCAAAACACAUGAGGCUGAAAGGACAUCGAACGAACGGUGGUUGCCCACGGAGGAGGGGUCCGAGAAUUGACUAUGUUUGUUGCGAUUAUGACUAUAAUCGCUGCGAAAUUGAUCUUUUUACGAAGCUUGAAAGGCACAAAGAAGCAACUAAUGCUCUAGAAAGUCUACUCCACAGCAAAGAAUGCGUUCAGGAAUCUGGUAUCGUCGAUUGCAUCAACAAUGAUCUCCUGUGAGUGCUUGCAAACGUCAUUUAUGUUUUGCAAACUGUACCUAGUUAUCAAAUUUGCACCUAUUUUUGUUGUUUGUGUUGUGUCGCUAUUGUUCUGUAUGUUCAAAGUGGGAGCUGGCAUUCCUACUUUAAACUUCAUGUGAGGUGGAGAAGGUGUACAUACGGGUUAAUUUUGAAUGUUGCAGAGUUGAUGAGAGUAUCCUGGGACAAUUGCCAACUUCAAGUCCAACAGAAACUGGCUGCAUCUUUCUCAAGUGGUCAAAUGAAAUAUGGUCACGUGGUUUUACUGAAGUGAGAUGUGAAUCCUCAUUGUGCUGGACAAAGUCGAAUGAGCUCCCACCUUUGGGAGCUAAUUUUGAUGCUAUAAUUGGACUAUUUUUUGACCUUAUACAUCCGACUAGCUAAAUGGCGAUGAACAAAUGACCGGCACAGGUGUAUCAAAUUAUCUUUGUGGCUUUGGAAUUCCUGGAACGUUAUAUCUUUUCACCUUAAAAGGUUUCUAUUUUCAAGUUCUUGGGGUAUCGUGUCAAUACACCCAUGAAAUCACCUAAUUUGAGUAUCAUGAGCUGAACGGGACUCAAUCACCAGAUUAAUUAUAAUGGUGGAAUUGCACAUUGUUGGCGGUUCAAAAAACUUAGAGAGCUAAGAAAAAAUUGAGCAAAAUAGGAACGCAGCAAGGGUUCAUGAGGUCAAUUUGAAGGGAAUGGAUUGCAAGAGCUAAACUGAAACAUUAUGUAUGCACGGUUGAGAAGUAGAAGAGAGCGGAAAUCCCAUAUCUUCUACAAAAUGGCAUUAAUAGUGAAAUGCGCUAGUUUAAUUAGCAUGAGGUUCUCACUAAUUUCGUGGAUGCCCUUAUCUGGAAUUCCAGUUGGUUCAAUCCUCGGUUAAUUUGGAGCAUCAUUUAUUGAAGUUGUCGUUUCCCACUCAACUGGCGUUUCGGAAACACAGCUCUCUGGGAUGCCUGUACAACUUGGAAUGGAUGGAUUGGGAAAAUGCCAUAUUUCAUAUGGAGUGGUGUCUCGAGAUCUUGGAGACUGUGCCAAGAAAAAGAGUGGCAGAGUUCAAGCAAAUGGAGAAGGAUAAGAGGGAAAACGUUCUCAGAGCCAACGAAGAACUUGAACUUGAACGGAGCCUGAGAGCUCUUAAAUCUUGUGACCGGCUGAGGCAAUGGAUCAUCCCCCCUCUCGUGGACCUUUAUCACAUGAAGAAGCAAUACAUGACAGCGUUUGAUUAUGGCUUUGUUUGCUACAUGCAAUUCACUGUGCUGAGAUUGCCGACCAUAAGUCGAAGACGGAAUUGGAAAAUUAUAUUUUUUAAAAAGCAUAUGCUGCAAUAUAUCAGUGCGCCAUCUCUGAUUCUCCUAGUGAUUCCAGAUUGAAGAUCUAUGUUAUCAAGAGAGUUUUGGGAAUGUUUGAACUGAUGGAUGAUUGGCCUGUGGAGUGCGGGAUUCUGCAAUUUUUACGAACGAAGUUCAUGAGUGUGUGUGCAAACAUGAAGGUGCAUUGGAUUUUAUUCGACAAGAAAAGCAACUUCUAGACCAGUGGUACCCAGAACCCGAGCAGAAAAUGGCAGAGAAUUACUUGACUUGUGUGUUGAUUGAAGCUACUUGUUUGUGGCACCCUUAAAGGCUGGAUGAGAUUGGGAGAGUCACGCACAAAUACUGGGAAAGUACGGGCAAGAACCCAACUUUACUCCAAAAUCAAGUUAAGAAACAUAUGGACAGGAUGGGAGAAAUCCCGCAGGGACUGCAAGGCUUACUUCACUUCAUGCUACAUGGAGAUUUUGAUGGGGUUCCAACUGAGCUACUUGAGUUGAGACGAAAAAGCGGAGAGUGUAUAACGAAGAAGCAAUUUUAAUGCUUAAUACUCUAUUUUAUUUGUGUGCUAAAGCUUUCAAAAUUUUUAAGCAUAUUUUGCAUUUGUUAUGAAUUUUUUUCACUUUUUUGCAACCA